rnacentral:rRNA from 1 species
AUUGAACGCUGGCGGCAGGCCUAACACAUGCAAGUCGAGCGGCAGCGGGGGAAAGCUUGCUUUCCCGCCGGCGAGCGGCGGACGGGUGAGUAAUGUCUGGGAAACUGCCUGAUGGAGGGGGAUAACUACUGGAAACGGUAGCUAAUACCGCAUAACGUCUUCGGACCAAAGUGGGGGACCUUCGGGCCUCAUGCCAUCAGAUGUGCCCAGAUGGGAUUAGCUAGUAGGUGGGGUAACGGCUCACCUAGGCGACGAUCCCUAGCUGGUCUGGGAGGAUGACCAGCCACACUGGAACUGAGACACGGUCCAGACUCCUACGGGAGGCAGCAGUGGAGAAUAUUGCACAAUGGGCGCAAGCCUGAUGCAGCCAUGCCGCGUGUAUGAAGAAGGCCUUCGGGUUGUAAAGUACUUUCAGCGGGGAGGAAGGUGCUGUGGUUAAUAACCACAGCAAUUGACGUUACCCGCAGAAGAAGCACCGGCUAACUCCGUGCCAGCAGCCGCCGUAA